GGACCAAACAGAAACACUUGGAGCUGCCCAAGGCAUCCUAGGUACUUAAUACUAAACAAUGCUGGGUACCAGGAUGGAGUGAAGCUGCUUCCUCUCUAGUGAUAGAUGAUGAAGGAGGCCCGAGAUGUUUGUGAUACCAAUUCCCCUUGUUUUGUGGCCAGUGAGCGAGGCACGUGGCAUCUAUAGACAUACAGUGGACUUAGGGGGAUUGGCACACCUGUCACUUGACCAGUUCUGAAGUGUGGUGGAGCAGGCAGUCUCCAGUACAGGUUGGAAGCCUCCUGCUUGGAGAUGAGAAGGCCCCAGGGGCCCAGACUCUCAGAGGACAGACAAGAGAAGGUGAGCCUCGGUGGGCUGAUGUUACUUUACCAAGAUGACAAAGCUAGCAAGAGCCAGGUCGGACUUCAGUCCAGGUCUUUGACCCUUAAAUCCAGAGUUCUUUCUAUUUUCCAACAAUUACUGAGUACUCCUCCUUUCUACUCAGCACUAGGAAGCUAAAGAUCUCACUUCUGGGAAAGACGAGGAGUACCAUGAAGUGCCUGCAUGAAAUCUAAGUUUUGGAGUCUUGCAUUCUUGCAGAAAGGUAUCCUUCCUGAACCCCAGGGGUGCACCUCUUCACCCCCACAACUAUAUUGUACACAGAAAAUUUGGUAAUUGAAGAGUCUUUAAAACUGUCAAAUAGAAAAAACGCAGAACUAUUAAAUAGUCAAAAUCACUCUUUAAUCAAGGGAAAAGGGGUUCAGUGCUACUAGGUUGCGACAACGGAGCUGCACCCCGAGACUGCACAGAGUCUGGACGCCCUGGUCACUGACCCCUGGGAGUGCCACCGACUCAGGAUGGACUCUGAGGAACAAACGAAUUUGGGGAACCUCUAUACCUCUUGGGGAGUCCAGGGGCAGGGAAAGAUGAUUGACAUCACUAUAGCUACAAGGAAAAUGAGAGUGUUCAAAUUACACUGACAGGAUACAAUCAACCUUGGGAAAGGAAUCAUAGCUAGAGGCUAGGGUGUAAGAGAAGGGGCCACUAGCAAUAGAUACUAAAGGAUGGUUCCUGCUCAGGUGUGGAUCUUCCUGGGAAAGGGUCUGAUAUGAUAGGGGAGCUACCUAAAACAAAGAGGGUCCUUAGCAUAUGCUUAUCUCACCCAACCAGGAUUGUCAUUUCCCUGAGAUUCUCCCACUCAGUCUGAAACUGCUAACUUGGGAUUCCCUUCAGGGUAGAUUCCCA
rnacentral:lncRNA from 1 species